CUUUACCUUUCAUAAAGCACCGGCAAGAGGAAAGAAAUGACAGUAAGACUGAAUUAUGAACUUUAAAAAGUUGAGAACAAGCAACUACUUGUACUGUGAAAGCUGCUCUCUCUGCUCUUGAUUAACUGUCUGCAAUAGGUAGAUGACUCAUAAAGAUGAGGGUUGUCAAGAAGAGUUUGAAGAUUAAAGAUCUGCUAGACAAAGUAGAAAACUAAGGAACCUGAUGCUGGCUCCACAAGUUCUCACACUUGUUUUUAGUUUGACAAAAGAAAAAAAAAAAAAAAGCUGUGAAACACUUUGUUCGAACAGAGGCCACCUGUAAAAUACCCAGCACUACUUGGGUUGAAGUUGGAUGUGGUGAUAGUAGAUCAGAAAUCCUACUUGGCUGACUGGGCACAGUGACUCAUGCCUGUAAUCCUAGCACUUUGGGAGGCUGAGGUGGGUGGAUGACUUGACGUCAGGAGUUCGAGACCAGCCUGGCCAACAGGUGAAACACCGUCUCUACAAAAAUAGAAAAAUUAGCCAGGUGUGGUGGCUCACACCUGUAAUCCCAGCUACUGAGGAGGCUGAGGCAAGAGAGUCGCUUGAACCGGGGAGGCAGAGGUUACAGUGAGCUAAGAUUGCACCACCGCACUCCAGCCUGGACGACAGAGUGAGACUGUUUCAAACAAUAACAACAGCAACAACGAAGAAAUCCUACAUGGUUUCUGAGCCUUUUCCUGACUUCAACGUUCCAUAUGUCAUCAUUAAGGCGAGACCAAACCCUAGCUGCCCUAAGAAACCAUGUGGUACCACUUGGAGUACAUCUAGGCAUUAUUAAAUGUACUUUUCAAAACACUGUCUUUUAUUUUGUUCAACAAAUGAAUUACAUUUCCCUUUUCUUUCUGUUACUUAUUUUUAAUAGUCUCCGUUUUGUAAAACUUCUUACCACAUUCUUUUCAAACUCUGGAAAUAGUGUGUGGCUCCUGGGAAAUUCUCAGAGGUUUAAAUUUUUGCAUUUUCCCCAAAAUUUGUUUGGCUUCCUACAUGGAUUUUUUUUUUUUUAAACCCUCUGCCCAAUACUUAAAUCACAUUUACAACAUCAUGCAUAGCUCAUGGGGGAGAAUAGAGAAUAGUAAUGUUUUUGCUUCAAAGGUCAUCAUAACAGGAGGUCAGUGAAAAAUCAAACAUGACUUUAAAAACAUAAGGGCAGAAAGACACCCACAAAACUGGGCAUGUGGAUUGAGUGCUAGAUGGGUGGUCAACCCAACCCAGACACUCCAGCAGUAGUCCAACCACAUAACAGACCGGAAAACUCCAAAGUUGCUAACUAAGAAGCUGGUUUUAUUUUAUUUAAUUUUUUUUAAGAAUUCUAUUUCUGGUCACUGCUAUCAAGAGGUAGAAAAUGUGCUGAUUUCUUGUGUUACUUCAUAUUGGUCUUUUAUGUAAAGUGUUUUUAUGAAGAUAUAAAAUGCAUUUACACUUUGGGGUUUUAUGAACCUAGAAUAAUACUCAAUAACUCAGCAUUUUCUUAGUGUACCAAUUGAAAUAAUCAAAAAUAACCUUUAAUUUUUGCAUACUACAUGUUUAUAAGUUAAAAUAAAAAUUUUAAUGAGCUAGUAGUUCACAUAGUUUCAUUAGUUUAAUUUUUACUAUUCUGAAUAGAAUCUUAGACUUAUAAAAUCUUAUCACUUUAACGUUGCCUGUUAAUUCAAGAUUCAAUGAAGUAUUUUCUUUGUGUUGGAAAUCAAAGUUUUGGAGUUAAUCAUAUUUUAAACAAUGAAAUUUAUAAAGUGUAUGAAUUGCUGAACUUUUUAUAUCCGUUCACAUCAGAACAUGUGGCAGGAUCACAGUCUGGUUUUUGAUCAUUAAAUUAAAAAACCCAAAUAUUUGUUUAGUUUUUGUGGCCUAUUAUUUGGAAUAUUUGAUACUCACGUCCAUAUAUUUAUUUUGGUCGUUUACCUUUAAGAUAGAGUUAGAGACAGUUCUUCUUUCACAUGCAAAAGAGUAUGGGAUAAAAAAUGUCCUUUACUGUAUGAGUUCAUGUCUGUGUAGGGACAUAGAUGAAGCUAGAAACCAUCAUUCUGAGCAAACUAUCGCAAGGAAAGAAAACCAAACACUGCAUGUUCUCACUCAUAGGUGGGAACUGAACAAUGAGAA
ensembl:lincRNA